rnacentral:rRNA from 1 species
UACGUAGGGUGCAAGCGUUAUCCGGAAUUAUUGGGCGUAAAGAGCUCGUAGGCGGUUUGUCGCGUCUGCUGUGAAAACUGGAGGCUUACCUACCUCAGCCUGCAGUGGGUACGGGCAGACUAGAGUGCGGUAGGGGAGAUUGGAAUUCCUGGUGUAGCGGUGGAAUGCGCAGAUAUCAGGAGGAACACCGAUGGCGAAGGCAGAUCUCUGGGCCGUAACUGACGCUGAGGAGCGAAAGCAUGGGGAGCGAACAGG